GUAAGAUAGGAAAAAAAAGAGUAUAUAAAACUUAUAUGAAUUAUAGAUCAUUUUGAUUCGACUAUCUUAUCUUUUAAAGUUUUAAUUUUAUUAUCUAAUUUUUUAAUUUAAAUAAUUUGAUGGCUUUUUGGAUGCAAAAAUUUAAGCUACUCAUUUACUAUAAUUAACUUAUGAUUAUGUAAAUUGUAUAAAUUUUACUAACUAAAUCCGUAAAAAUAAACAGCUAGUGUAUUUAAAUUUUAAAGUUA
rnacentral:lncRNA from 1 species